rnacentral:rRNA from 1 species
AUACGGAGGGUGCAAGCGUUAUUCGGAAUCACUGGGCGUAAAGGACGCGUAGGCGGGUUGGCAAGUCAGAUGUGAAAUCCUACAGCUUAACUGUAGAACUGCAUUUGAAACUGCUAACCUAGAGUAUGGGAGGGGGAGAUGGAAUUAGUGGUGUAGGGGUAAAAUCCGUAGAUAUCACUAGGAAUACCGAAAGCGAAGGCGAUCUCCUGGAACAUAACUGACGCUAAGGCGUGAAAGCGUGGGGAGCAAACAGAAUUAGAAACCCUUGUAGUCC